rnacentral:rRNA from 1 species
AUUGAACGCUGGCGGCAGGCCUAACACAUGCAAGUCGAGCGGAUGAAGGGAGCUUGCUCCUGGAUUCAGCGGCGGACGGGUGAGUAAUGCCUAGGAAUCUGCCUGGUAGUGGGGGAUAACGUCCGGAAACGGGCGCUAAUACCGCAUACGUCCUGAGGGAGAAAGUGGGGGAUCUUCGGACCUCACGCUAUCAGAUGAGCCUAGGUCGGAUUAGCUAGUUGGUGGGGUAAAGGCCUACCAAGGCGACGAUCCGUAACUGGUCUGAGAGGAUGAUCAGUCACGCUGGAACUGAGACACGGUCCAGACUCCUACGGGAGGCGACAGUGGGGAAUAUUGGACAAUGGGCGAAAGCCUGAUCCAGCCAUGCCGCGUGUGUGAAGAAGGUCUUCGGAUUGUAAAGCACUUUAAGUUGGGAGGAAGGGCAGUAAGUUAAUACCUUGCUGUUUUGACGUUACCAACAGAAUAAGCACCGGCUAACUUCGUG